CUUAGUCCAGCGUCUGCUUCUGCGGCUUUUGGUUUCUGGGACCGAAUAGCUGCCGGUCCUUUUCCUUGUAUCUCUUCAGGCACCCUCGUAAGUCAACUUCCCCGCUGAAAUUUUAAGCUUGUUCGGUCGUGCCAAAUAAUGUGGACUUGAUGGUAGGAGCGGCCACAACCAAACCAAAGACAUGGCCUUGAGGGCGGAAGCCAUGAUAGUGGAGAAGAAAGAGGAAGAAGCCAUAUGCCCGGUGAUGUCAGAAAGGCUUCUGCUUUCAACAUUUCGACUAUAAUAAUGAAGCUAAGAGUCACUGUUAUGAGCUUCUAAUGGCCUUGAGAAAUCUGCUUCUCUGAUGGAGGUGAUGAUGGCAGACUUGGCAGGGAGCUGGGAGGUCAUGUUCAGACCUUCAGAAACAGACUGGAGCUGAGACCACAGACGGCACAGGUACCGGUGUCCUUGAUUUCUCAGCUUCAAAGUGAACUGCCUCUGAAGUAGGGGACAUUCACACCUGCGCUGCUGCCGUUGAUUUCUGCCUUCCUGGCUGCAGACUCAACAAGACAACAAUACAUCUGUUGACAUUUUCAAGGCCAUGUUCAUAAACCAAGCAUGGGAAGAUUCUCUUCCACCCUUUCUAAAUGAAAAUGAAAAGGCGCAGGGAAGGAGCUACAUGCAGGAUGUAUCCGGGUACAGCUCUGACUGGAGCAGCUCUUCAACCUCUUGCCCUCUGUCCGGGGCGUGCAGAGGGCCUAGCAGCAUCUUCCCAAGGGGCGUUCUCUAGAAGGUCAUUCCUCCUUCUGCUCAGCGGGCCUCCCUAAGCUCCCCCUGCAUCAUUAUCAGCCCAGCGCUGGCGAGAUCAGCAGGCUUCUCAAUGGAGCAUCACACCACGCCUUGGUAAGCAAGGAGCGCAUAGCCAAGGGAGAUUUUCCUUGACAUUUGUAUCC